GCCGGAGCCUGGUCAAACGGAACGGGCUUAGGACCCGUUGGCAAGCGCCUGCCAGGGUUCGAAUCCCUGCCCCCACACCA
rnacentral:tRNA from 1 species